GUUUGUACGGACUACGGCUGUAGUGAAUCCUUAUACUCGAAGCCGCUGGAAACAGGUGUAUCGACUAAUAUGACGGGGGCACUUGUGGGCGGAGCGGUGUCAGCGGUUAUUGAGCUGGUGAUUGUAUUGGUGAUAUUCUUUAUGAGAAAGAGAAACGCAGCCUGUUUCAAAAAGGAAACAGAAAGCAUAACACAUACUUCCAGUGAUCGAUUCGUUGAAAUGAGGACAAUGCACACGAAUGAACAAAC